CAGGCAUGAUGAUGAAUGUUUAAUUUUUCUGAAAUCUUUUGAAUGAAAAAUUACCUCCUACUCAUUCUGA